rnacentral:rRNA from 1 species
CCUACGGGCGGCAGCAGUCGAGAAUCAUUCACAAUGGGGGAAACCCUGAUGGUGCGACGCCGCGUGGGGGAAUGAAGGUCUUCGGAUUGUAAACCCCUGUCAUGUGGGAGCAAAUUAAAAAGAUAGUACCACAAGAGGAAGAGACGGCUAACUCUGUGCCAGCAGCCGCGGUAAUACAGAGGUCUCAAGCGUUGUUCGGAAUCACUGGGCGUAAAGCGUGCGUAGGCUGUUUCGUAGGUCGUGUGUGAAAGGCGCGGGCUCAACCCGCGGACGGCAUAUGAUACUGCGAGACUAGAGUAAGGGAGGGGGAACCGGAAUUCUCGGUGUAGCAGUGAAAUGCGUAGAUAUCGAGAGGAACACUCGUGGCGAAGGCGGGUUCCUGGACAUUAACUGACGCUGAGGCACGAAGGCCAGGGGAGCGAAAGGGAUUAGAUACCCGUGUAGUC